rnacentral:rRNA from 1 species
AACGAACGCUGGCGGCGUGCUUAACACAUGCAAGUCGAACGGGAUCCAGAGCUUGCUCUGGUGAGAGUGGCGCACGGGUGAGUAACGCGUGGAUAACCUGCCCUGGUAUCUGGAAUAACAUCUCGAAAGGGGUGCUAAUACCGGAUAAGCCUACGGAGCCUUCGGUCUCUGCAGGAAAAGGUGGCCUCUAUUUAUAAGCUACCGUAUCAGGAUGGGUCCGCGUACCAUUAGCUAGUUGGUGGGGUAAUGGCCCACCAAGGCGACGAUGGUUAGCUGGUCUGAGAGGAUGAUCAGCCACACUGGAACUGAGACACGGUCCAGACUCCUACGGGAGGCAGCAGUGGGGAAUUUUGCGCAAUGGGGGAAACCCUGACGCAGCAACGCCGCGUGAGUGAUGAAGGCUUUCGGGUCGUAAAGCUCUGUCAGAAGGGAAGAAAUGAGGCUGGCUAAUAUCCAGUUUUCUUGACGGUACCUUCAAAGGAAGCACCGGCUAACUCCGUGCCAGCAGCCGCGGUAAUACGGAGGGUGCAAGCGUUGUUCGGAUUUAUUGGGCGUAAAGCGCGUGUAGGCGGUUUCUUAAGUCUGAUGUGAAAGCCCUGGGCUCAACCCAGGAAGUGCAUUGGAUACUGGGAGACUUGAAUACGGGAGAGGGUAGUGGAAUUCCUAGUGUAGGAGUGAAAUCCGUAGAUAUUAGGAGGAACACCGGUGGCGAAGGCGGCUACCUGGACCGAUAUUGACGCUGAGACGCGAAAGCGUGGGGAGCGAACAGGAUUAGAUACCCUGGUAGUCCACGCCGUAAACGAUGAGAACUAGGUGUUGCGGGUAUUGACCCCUGCAGUGCCGCAGCUAACGCAUUAAGUUCUCCGCCUGGGAAGUACGGUCGCAAGACUA